UACGAAGGGGCUAGCGUUGCUCGGAAUCACUGGCGUAAAGCGCACGUAGGCGGAUUGCUAAGUCAGGGUGAAAUCCUGGAGCUCAACUCCAGAACUGCCUUUGAUACUGGCGACCUUGAGUCCGGGAGAGGUGAGUGGAACUGCGAGUGUAGAGGUGAAAUUCGUAGAUAUUCGCAAGAACACCAGUGGCGAAGGCGGCUCACUGGCCCGGUACUGACGCUGAGGUGCGAAAGCGUGGGGAGCCAAACAGG
rnacentral:rRNA from 1 species